rnacentral:rRNA from 1 species
GGUUAAGCGACCAAGCGUACACGGUGGAUGCCUAGGCAGUCAGAGGCGAUGAAGGACGUGCUAAUCUGCGAUAAGCGCCGGUAAGGUGAUAUGAACCGUUAUAACCGGCGAUUUCCGAAUGGGGAAACCCAGUGUGACUCGUCACACUAUCGUUAAGUGAAUACAUAGCUUAACGAAGCGAACCAGGGGAACUGAAACAUCUAAGUACCCUGAGGAAAAGAAAUCAACCGAGAUUCCCCCAGUAGCGGCGAGCGAACGGGGAGCAGCCCAGAGUCUGAAUCAGCAUGUGUGUCAGUGGAAGCGUCUGGAAAGUCGCAGGGUACAGGGUGAUACUCCCGUACACGAAGAUGCAUGUGCUGUGAACUCGAAGAGUAGGGCGGGACACGUGGUAUCCUGUCUGAAUAUGGGGGGACCAUCCUCCAAGGCUAAAUACU